AUUGAACGCUGGCGGCUUGCCUAACACAUGCAAGUCGAGCGGUAACAGAGAGUAGCUUGCUACUUUGCUGACGAGCGGCGGACGGGUGAGUAAUGCUUGGGAACUUGCCUUUAGGAGGGGGAUAACCACGGGAAACUGUGGCUAAUACCGCAUAAUGUCUACGGACCAAAGCAGGGGAUCUUCGGACCUUGCACCUAGAGAUAGGCCCAAGUGAGAUUAGCUAGUUGGUGGGGUAAGAGCUCACCAAGGCGACGAUCUCUAGCUGUUCUGAGAGGAUGAUCAGCCACACUGGGACUGAGACACGGCCCAGACUCCUACGGGAGGCAGCAGUGGGGAAUAUUGCACAAUGGGGGAAACCCUGAUGCAGCCAUGCCGCGUGUGUGAAGAAGGCCUUCGGGUUGUAAAGCACUUUCAGUGGUGAGGAAGGAUGUAAGAUUAAUACUCUUGCAUAUUGACGUUAGCCACAGAAGAAGCACCGGCUAACUCCGUG
rnacentral:rRNA from 1 species